rnacentral:rRNA from 1 species
UAAGUCCCGCAACGAGCGCAACCUGAUCUUAGUGCCAGCAUCAGUUGGGCACUCUAAGGUGACUGCCGGUGACAAACCGGAGGAAGGUGGGGAUGACGUCAAAUCAUCAUGCCCCUUAUGACCUGGGCUACACACGUGCUACAAUGGACAGAACAAAGGGCAGCGAAACCGCGAGGUUAAGCCAAUCCCACAAAUCUGUUCUCAGUUCGGAUCGCAGUCUGCAACUCGACUGCGUGAAGCUGGAAUCGCUAGUAAUCGCGUAUCAGCAUGCCGCG